rnacentral:rRNA from 1 species
AAGAGAGUGCAAGAGAACGUGAAACCGUUAUAGUGGAAGCGGAUGGAGCCGACGUAUCCGGUACGUAUUCAGCUGUUAGGCGGCGUGUGCUAUUCGUCGCGGGUUCUGCAAAGUCCCGCACGAGUGUUGCACGCGUUGUUGAGCAGUGCACUUGCGUACAGAGUGCGCCGAAUCGGUCGAGCACGUGGUUGGAAGCGCGACAAGAGGACUGGCCUCGGCUAGAAACCUGGUCUGUGCCAUACAACAAUUGGGCUUGGCUGUAUGAAAGGGACUGGUUGAACGCGUCCGUGUGGGGCUGGUUGAGUGGCCUUUGUGUGAUGCAUGCAUUCCAUAUUGGUGAUUUAGUCAGCCUCGGACGGAUGAUCUGUCCCCCAUUCGGUGUCUGGUCGGUCACCCAUUUGACCCGUCUUGAGACACGGACCAAGGAGUUUAAGGUGUGCGCAAGUCAAUAGGUGUUCCGAAGCCUAUAGGCGUAAUGAAAGUGGGCCAUUGAGUGGCUGUGAUGUGAGUGGAUGGAGAUUCGUCUACAGCCACGCAACAUCGACCCAUAACGCGAACUUGUUCUGUUGUGGAGUCCGAGCGUACGCUUUGAGACCCGAAAGAUGGUGAACUAUGCCUGAACAGGACGAAGUCAGAGGAAACUCUGAUGGAAGUCCGAAGCGGUUCUGACGUGCAAAUCGAUCGUCUGAUUUGGGUAUAGGGGCGCAAGACUAAUCGAACCAUCUAGUAGCUGGUUCCUUCCGA